GCUCUUGUAGCUCAGUUGGUUAGAGGACCCGUUUAAUAAGCGGGAGGUAUAGAGUUCAACUCUCAACAAGAGCA
rfam:Ipomoea nil DNA, scaffold: scaffold2165, cultivar: Tokyo-kokei standard.